rnacentral:rRNA from 1 species
CAUGUAGGCGGAUUAAUAAGUUUGAAGUGAAAUCCUAUAGCUUAACUAUAGAACUGCUUUGAAAACUGUUAAUCUAGAAUGUGGGAGAGGUAGAUGGAAUUUCUGGUGUAGGGGUAAAAUCCGUAGAGAUCAGAAGGAAUACCGAUUGCGAAGGCGAUCUACUGGAAAAUUAUUGACGCUGAGAUGCGAAAGCGUGGGGAGCAAACA